rnacentral:rRNA from 1 species
AUUGAACGCUGGCGGCAUGCCUAACACAUGCAAGUCGAGCGAGCGGCGGACGGGGGAGGAAGGGCGGGGAAACUGCCUGAUGGAGGGGGAUAACGACGGGAAACGGUAGCUAAAACAGCAUACCAGGCGAUUUGCCCAGAUGGGAAUAGCUGGUAGGUGGGGUAACGGCUCACCUAGGCGACGAUCCGUAGCCGGCCUGAGAGGAUGACCAGCCACACUGGAACUGAGACACGGCCCAGACCCCUACGGGAGGCAGCAGUGGGGAAUCUUCCGCAAUGGGCGCAAGCCUGACCCAGCAAUGCCGCGUGUGUGAAGAAGGCCUUCGGGUCGUAAAGCUCUUUCGGUGGAGAGGCGUUAUCCGCCCAGAAAGCCCCGGCUAACUCCGUGCCAGCAGCCGCGGUAAUUC